AGCGAACGCUGGCGGCAGGCCUAACACAUGCAAGUCGAACGAACUCUUCGGAGUUAGUGGCGGACGGGUGAGUAACACGUGGGAACGCGCCUUUUGGUUCGGAAUAACUCAGGGAAACUUGUGCUAAUACCGAAUGUGCCCUUCGGGGGAAAGAUUUAUCGCCAUUAGAGCGGCCCGCGUCUGAUUAGCUAGUUGGUGAGGUAACGGCUCACCAAGGCGACGAUCAGUAGCUGGUCUGAGAGGAUGACCAGCCACACUGGGACUGAGACACGGCCCAGACUCCUACGGGAAGCAGCAGUGGGGAAUCUUGCGCAAUGGGCGAAAGCCUGACGCAGCCAUGCCGCGUGAAUGAUGAAGGUCUUAGGAUUGUAAAAUUCUUUCACCGGGGACGAUAAUGACGGUACCCGGAGAAUAAGCCCCGGCUAACUUCGUG
rnacentral:rRNA from 1 species